rnacentral:lncRNA from 1 species
CUGAGCUUCUUCUGCUGGUUUUGCUGGGAGGUUCGCUGGUCUGUCCUCUAAAAUAAGUGCAGUAGUGGAGAGUGGCUCAAAAUCAAGGUUCUUCCUCACAUUCUGCUUAGGAGAGAGUGGUCUGUGAGCUCGUCCAGUUUUUUCUUCAUAUUCCAUGAACGCCGCGGAGCCUCACCGGCCGCGCCGCCGCAGCCCCAUGCCCGGGGCGCUCCGGGACCUGGCUCCCCGCCGCGGCGCCGCCCGGGCCCGCACGGCCUCGCGGGCCGCCCGCCCCGUCCCGCCCCGCCCCGCCAGUCCCGCUAAUCAGCUGCGGAGCCGCCGCGGUCGAUCGCUUCUCUCCCUCUCGCCCAGCGCUGCCUGAGCACGCGUGGCGGCGGGGCGGGCCCGGCCGGGUACGCCGCUUCCGUGCCCGCUUUCCCGGCUCCCAGGCCGGCGGGCUCCCGCCUCGGGGGGACGCGUACCAGCAGCGGGCCUAAGGAAACUGCGGGCGGCCUCACUGCUGCUGUCCGCCCUCUUUGGGCAGCUCUAAAAGGUCCGUGCCCGUCGCGUUUACCAUAAGUACCGUGCUGUCAACCUCGCAUCUGCAGCCGUUCCUCGCUCCAGUGCUCAGGACCUCACGCUGCUCGUGGCCUUCACCGAGGCCCGAUCCUGAGUCUGAAUGAGCAGCAGGGAUACCCUCAAUACAACAGAAGUCACUUAAGCAUUCUGCUUGUGAGAAUUUCUACAAAUUCUUCUUAUUUUCUCUUAAAUUGGGCCACAAAAACGGUGAAAGGGUUGGAAUACCCCAGCAUGUAAGGACAGGCUGAGAGCUGGGGCUGUUCAGCUUGAAGAGACAGAUCAGAGGUGACCUGAGAGCAGCCCUUCGGUAUCUAAAAGGGGGCUGUAAGAAAGGAGCCAGAGCCAUUAGCAGGGGCUGCUGUAACAACUGGGCUCCACAGUUUAAAAUGACAAGGAUCUCCUCAAAGGAGUCCAGCAAAGAGCCACAAAGAUGACUAACAGCCUGGAGCAUCUCCCGUAUGAGGAAUGAUUGAGUAACCUGGGUCUGUAUAGCUUGGGGAAAAGAAGAUAGAGGGAGGACCUGAUUAAUGUUUAUAAAUAUCUAAAGGGAGGAGGGAGAGAAAUGCAUGAGGCCAGGCUCUUCUCGGUGGUGUACAGAGCAAUGGCCUAAAACUUGAACAUAGGAAGUUCCAUAUGAACAUGCAGAAGAAGUUUAUACAGUGCAGGUGAUGGAGCACUGGAACAGGCUGCCCAGAGAGGCUGUGCAGCCUCCUUCUUUGGAGAUAUUCAAGACCUGUCUAGACACCUACCCAUGCAACCUGCUGUAGGGUCCCUUACAACUCAAAACAAUUCUAUGAUGAUUGGAAUUGCUGGAUGUUUUAUCAGCCUAAUGUUUUCAACCUACAGCUUGCCAUCGAAUUCUGAGGCAGCAAUAAUACAUCAAAUGAGAGACAGCUCAUUUGUUUAAAAGAAUCUCAGCCUCAUCACCUCCUACCAUCGCUAAUUAACAACAGACACCUGGUGUCAGAGCACAGACAAUCACCACAAGGCUAUCAACUGAGCUCAUGAAAAGCACCGCAGCCCCAAAUGCCAACGUUUCUCCUCAUAAGCUGUCUGAAGCUGACAAUUAUCACACAUCAAAAAACAACCAUUAAUACAGAAACAACAUCAGACCGUGAGGUGGACAAUAUCUCUGUGGCAAACCCUUCUGGUUUCAUGUACUGAAAGUGGAACGAUGCUGCAGAUCUCCAGGACCAAGGAACCAGCCAUCAGCUCCAUCAGCUGUCUCCUCCACAAAAAUAAAAAAAAGAUAUUGAAAGUGCAGCCUGGUGAAACUGGGAGAUACUUCUGCGGGGUGAAACAAAGUACACUCUGUAACUCACCUCAUUACCACAGAUUACACAGAGGUAUCGGUAGCUCUAUUUUUAGGCUGCCACAAUUCUAAGAGUACCUGAGGCUACUCAGACAAGUCAUGCACAAGCUGUAAUUGCAUGAUAUGUUUUAUUGCACGAUAUGUUUUCCACUGAAAUUCCUGCCUCCUCCAGCUUACAAGAUAGGAACCAGACCAGAAUUGCACAAGCCAAAUUGUUUUUUUUUUUUUUCUUGGCUUUUGAGUCUGACUGCUACCAAAAUACUGCUUCAGCGUUCCCCUUUUGUUGCUUCAUAGCUUCCUACUGCAUGCAUCUGCAGUCUCUCUCCUUUUACUAUGAAGUACUUUAGCAGAUGGAUCUAAGCUGGUGCACACCCAGAACAUCACUGCCCUCCCCCCCUUCCAGCACCUCACACCAAUUCUUCACUGCCUCUUUAAGAAGUUGUGCUACUGCACAGUGCUUUAAUUUGGGGAUAUGACUGCUACAAACAGAGCUUUUGUUUUAUUGCAUCAGUUUGGUUGCUCUAGUUAAACUUCUGGAUCUGCUUUGCUACAGGGCAAUGGUAACCAUCUGCAUACAAACAAGUGUUACACAGGAAAAGGAACGAGCAGCAGGACUUCCAGAAGAUAAACUGAAACCAGCAGACCACAAAACUUGAGAUGAUCUUUGAGACAGGUAACUAAGAUUUGAUUCUUGACAUGAUAAGCCACAAAAUGCUCAUUUUAAUGGAGGCUCUUCGCAUAUAAUCAAUUACAGUAAUCAAAGGGAACUUCAGGAGACUAAUACCUCAGGCAAAGAUCAGAUUAUGAGAACAUCAUUCAAAUUUAACAAAAUACAAAUAGGAAUACAAGGAAUUGUUUGGAAGUUUAGUAUAAAUAGGAUUAGAGAGCUUUUUAUGCAAGUCCAAAAAAGAGUACCAGAACUGUUUUGAAAUGUAAUUAGUUUAUUAGAGAUCUGACCUGACAACCUGAGAAAUAUCAGUUGCACACCAAACCUGCAGACUUUGCCAGAGUGAUUUGGCAGCUCUGUGAUUCAGUCAUGGUUCAAGAACCACCAGUUCUACUUGCUUUUCCACCCACUUAUACACAUUUUUAAGUCUCCUAAGUUAUAAGAAGAAUACCACAGCAGAAGACAGCCAUUUGAUGAGAGAACUUGACUGCAAUAACAUUAUGUGCAUUUUCUACCAGGUUAUUCUUCUCAUCUUUAGUACUACCAUAUUUUCCAAUUCCAUACUUAACAAAUUAGGAAUGCUCCAGAAGAGUAAGAGACAAAGGCCAAUUCACACAAGGAAAACCUCACACCACCUACUUCAGGCAUAUUUCAAGUGCUUUGAAAUUAUCCCUAUUAUUCCCUGAAAAGCUUCUCCCUUCUGAUUACAGACUAUAGGGGGAUUUGGUCCCACACAGUCGCACUGGAUUUGUAUGAAUAAAAUAGUGCACAUAUACUCCAAAAGGACAUGAGAGAACCACAUACAUCGCUCCAAAAGUAAUGCCUCCUACCUAUUUCCAUGGAAACUACAACGGAUACAAAGAACAUAAUAACACUAUUUGAUAUUCUCAGCUACCAAACGCUGUUUUUUGACAUAGCCACCACCAUUAGCUGUGUAUUUCUGACAGCAAUGAAUGAGAGCUUGCAUCCCAUACUCAUAAAAAUCUGCAUGGCUGUCUGGAACAUGGUUUGUCUUUCAUGUAGCUGCUGCCAUCACUGGAACGUACCACCUCCCCAUCUCACUGUGCUCAUAUCCACUGUUUGGUUCUCCAUCAAUGUUCAUCAAGCAUCAAUGAAUAUCAACAAGUGCAUUUUUUUCCUUGUGGAGGAAUUCAAUGACACACCUUUGCUUCAUAUGUGCUUCUUUGUCAGAUGCCACUCCAUCUGAUUGCCCCUCUGCAGCCAUUUGUCACACAGCAACAAAGCAUAACCGAAUAGUGGUAGAAAGGUUUAACCUCUACUGGCAUACUACCAAUAUUCACCUCUGACGUCAUGGGCUGACAUCAUAAAGUAGGAGGCAUUACUUUCGGAGCAGACCUCGUAACAGCUACACUGCAGACCUGUGCUCCUUCCAUUGGACCAUUACAGCCAUUUUUACAAAUAUUAACUUCUCUGGCAUUGUAUUUUGAGCAAUCUUGAGUUAACGAACAUUUGAAAUCCAAGUCUUUUUAUGGUCAAUUUAGGUCUCCCAAGAAAGAAUGAGUUUGCUCUUACAGAGUCCAUCAUGCAAUAUGCUACAUAUCGGAUGGCUUUUACCCUUGGGGUUCAUGUUUAAUUUCUGCUAUAUCUAAAUAACGUAAGUGCUUUUGAAUCAUACAGAGUUACAUACUUAAAAAAAAAAAUGAGGAAAGAAUCCAGACCAUUUCCAUAUAUUUGAAGGACUAUUUAAAAAAGACAAAGCACACCUAUGCAUAUGUGGUUUAACAACAGCUCUUCACUGUUUUGUGGUAUCUGUAAUCAGAUUGUGAAGCAAACUCUCACAAGUGACUCCAGCAUGAGUCACUGUAACCAAAAAAAACUCAUACUACUUUAGAACACUGAAAAGGAUGUCAUUUAAUCUGCAUAUACAAACAUGCAGUUUCCCUAUAUACUGAUACCAUCUGAUACACUACAGUAUCAAGCGAGCGGAAACAUCUACUAGAACAGCUUCCAGCAGGGCAAGCAUCAGACAGGUGCUUGAGCAAGAGAAUACAUGCUAGAUGGUUAUUUUAUCAUUUUUUUAAUGAACAGCUACCAAAAUAAAAUACUAUGAACACUUGUUCUCAGUAUGUACCUGAAAUGUUACUCCUAGGGAUUGGAAGUACACUGGAUAUGGAGCUUAAAGAAAAAACAUAAUAAUUUUAAACAAACUACAUGUCCACUCACUAAUCUCUCCAACUCAACAUUCUGUAUAGCCUUAGCACUGUGCCCUUCCAAAGCAACUUUCAGCAACGUUUUCUUCUGAGAUUUCACAUUAGUGCUGAUGUGUUGGUGUUGCAGAAGAAAACUUAUCUUUCGUAUCUUGUUUCAAAUUGCAUGCUCUUCAGUCUGGCUACCAGCAAGAACUGUUCCCUCAUUCUGAGCAAGACAUGGAAAAAAAGGAAGUAUUCUUAAGUCACAUCAGCUUAAUGGUGACAGUUCUGAGAUGGCCAAAGCACCAGGUUAGCUUUAGGAUAAGGAAAGGAAUCACAGGAAUUUGAUAUUUUAUUUUGCAAGCUCUCUAUUCAGUUGCAAAUAAGGCCUCAAAUACUUCCACUUUUCAAGACAAAAGAAUGAGCCAGGAAUGCAUAUGAAUGCAUAUUAUUAUGAUGUUCAGAUACUCAGGUGAGCAUAAAUCAACUCUAAGUUUGCAAACAGCUGUCUGUGUAGGUAAGGAUGUGCAGGUUUGUGUUUCUGUAUGUGCCCUUAACACAUGCACCAAAUCAGCGUGAGAAAAGGCAUUUCACUUCAAGUGUUUCACCAUAUUUCACUUCCCCUCCCUUUUUAAAUCCUCUCCCUGAUUUCUAUACUGCUUCCUCACUAAGAUUUGUGCAUCUCUAAGGAUCUCUCACUUUUUCAAGUUUUAUACUUGUCUGUCCUUUGAAAUGAUAGAAAAGCAAGGCAGUAAGUCUACUGCUCUAAAACUUCUUCGGGUGAUUUUCUACAUUCAUGUUUGCUGGUCUGAUCCCUAAAAUUACCCUUUAAGCAGUUACUGGUGACAGUUUCUUACAUGUUUAAUGCAAGUUUCUUUUUCACAUCAUCUUUCACUAUCUGGAAGACUCCUGUAUAUUCUGUAUGUGUGUGUAUAUAUAUAUAUAUAUAUAUUUUUUUUUAAUAAAAAGCUAUAUCAACAUAAAUGUUUGUGAAUAUCAUCUUUGUAACCUGAGAUUUGGUUUGGAUGAGAAGAGAUUGUGACUUUCUAAAAAUCAC